rnacentral:rRNA from 1 species
GACGAACGCUGGCGGCGUGCUUAACACAUGCAAGUCGAACGGAAAGGCCCUGCUUUUGUGGGGUGCUCGAGUGGCGAACGGGUGAGUAACACGUGAGUAACCUGCUCUUGACUUUGGGAUAACUUCAGGAAACUGGGGCUAAUACCGGAUAGGAGCUCCUGCUGCAUGGUGGGGGUUGGAAAGUUUCGGCGGUUGGGGCUGGAUUCGCGGCUUAUCAGCUUGUUGGUGGGGUAGUGGCUUACCAAGGCUUUGACGGGUAGCCGGCCUGAGAAGGUGACCGGGCACAAUGGGACUGAGGUACGGCCCAGACGCCUACGGGAGGCAGCAGUGGGGAAUAUUGCACAAUGAGCGGAAGCCUGAUACAGCGACGCCGGGUGCGGGAUGACGGCCUUCGGGUUGUAAACCGCUUUCGCCUGUGACGAAGCGUGAGUGACGGUAAUGGGUAAAGAAGCACCGGCUAACUACGUG